GUCAUGAUUUAAAAGUAAAUAAAAGACAAUACAUAACAGUUUUGGAAGAGUUAUAAUAAAAUCAACUUCGAUUGGAGUCCUCAUGGUAGGAUAAGUUAUAGCCUCAAGUCCAAGAAGAGUCAUCAUGACGCCAGGAUAAGAAGUUUUUGAGCGCACAAUUGAUGAAGAGUUAACGUAGUAUCGAAAUCCCUAAAUACCAGAAUGAUCUUGGAUCUUAUCGAUUUUUAAUCGAAUAUUUAUAAGAGCUGUUGCAAUAUUCAUAAUCACUUUCCUGAUGCACUUCUUCCUAAAUUAUGAAAUUGUAUGUGCAGUGUAGAAAUAAUUGUUUUUACUAAUUGUCAAUAAUAUUAUAUAUUGGCCACAACCGAUGGAUUCUAAAAUAAAUAAUUGCAUUUAAA
rnacentral:lncRNA from 1 species